rnacentral:tRNA from 1 species
AAAGUCUUAGCUUAAUUAAAGUAUCUGUAUUGCAUGCAGAUGAUGUGGGUUCAAUUCUCGUAGGCUUUA